rnacentral:rRNA from 1 species
GACAGAGGAGCCAAGCGUUGUCCGGAUUGACUGGGCGUAAAGCGCACGCAGGCGGUCGCGCGCGUGGGGUGUGAAAUCUGGCCGCUUAACGGCCAGGCGCCAUCCCAUACGGCGCGACUGGAGUGAUGCAGAGGUCGGUGGAAUUGCCGGUGUAGUGGUGAAAUGCGUAGAGAUCGGCAGGAACACCCCAGGGGAAACCAGCCGACUGGGCAUCUACUGACGCUGAGGUGCGAGAGCGUGGGGAGCGAACCGG